rnacentral:piRNA from 1 species
UGCCUGCAAAAAUAUGCUUGUUGCCA